GACGAACGCUGGCGGCGUGCCUAACACAUGCAAGUCGAACGGAGCAGAUCCCUUCGGGGUUUGCUUAGUGGCGAACGGGUGAGUAACGCGUGAGGAACCUGCCUUUCAGUGGGGGACAACAGUUGGAAACGACUGCUAAUACCGCAUAAUGCAUUGGAUUCGCAUGUUUCUGAUGCCAAAGAUUUUAUCGCUGAAAGAUGAGCUCGCGUCUGAUUAGCUAGUUGGCGGGGUAACGGCCCACCAAGGCGACGAUCAGUAGCCGGAUUGAGAGGUUGAACGGCCACAUUGGGACUGAGACACGGCCCAG
rnacentral:rRNA from 1 species